UACGUAGGGUGCGAGCGUUAAUCGGAAUUACUGGGCGUAAAGCGUGCGCAGGCGGUUUUGUAAGCCGGAUGUGAAAUCCCCGGGCUUAACCUGGGAAUGGCAUUCGGGACUGCAAGGCUGGAGUGCGGCAGAGGAGACUGGAAUUCCUGGUGUAGCAGUGAAAUGCGUAGAUAUCAGGAGGAACACCGGUGGCGAAGGCGGGUCUCUGGGCAGUAACUGACGCUGAGGAGCGAAAGCGUGGGGAGCGAACAGG
rnacentral:rRNA from 1 species